rnacentral:rRNA from 1 species
GUCUUUUUGAAAUAAUUUAAAGUCUAAUCUGCCCACUGAUAAAAUUAAAGGGCUGCAGUAUAUUGACUGUACAAAGGUAGCAUAAUCAUUAGUUUCUUAAUUGGAAACUUGUAUGAAAGAUUUGAUGAAAUAUAAACUGUCUCUAAUUUAUAAAUUGAAAUUUAUUUUUUAGUAAAAAAGCUAAAAUAAAUUUAAAAGACGAGAAGACCCUAUAGAGUUUUAUAUUUAAUUUUAUUUGAAAAUUAUAUAAAAAUUAAUAUUUAAAUAAAAUUAAUUAUUAUAUUGGGGUGAUAGAAAAAUUAAAUUAACUUUUUUUAAAAAUUAAACAUAAAUAAAUGAUUAAAUGAUCCAUAAAUAAUGAUUAUAAGAAAAAAUUACCUUAGGGAUAACAGCGUAAUAUUUUUUUUUAGCUCAAAUAAGAAAAAAAGUUUGCGACCUCGAUGUUGGAUUAAGAUAAAAUUUAAAUGCAAAAGUUUAAAAUUUUGAUCUGUUCGAUCAUUAAAAUCUUACA